UUGGCUCCACCAUUGUCAGA
rnacentral:snRNA from 1 species